rnacentral:rRNA from 1 species
GAUGAACGCUGGCGGCGUGCCUAAUACAUGCAAGUCGAGCGAACAGACGAUGAGCUUGCUCCUCUGACUUUAGCGGCGGACGUGUGAGUAACACGUGGAUAACCUACCUAUAAGACUGGGAUAACUUCGGGAAACCGGAGCUAAUACCUGAUAAUAUAUGGAACCGCAUGGUUCAAUAGUGUAAUACGGUUUUGCUGUCACUUAUAGAUGGAUCCGCGCCGGAUUAGCUAGUUGGUAAGGUAACGGCUUACCAAGGCAACGAUGCGUAGCCGACCUGAGAGGGUGAUCAGCCACACCGGAACUGAGACACGGUCCAGACUCCUACGGGAGGCAGCAGUAGGGAAUAUUCCGCAAUGGGCGAAAGCCUGACGGAGCAAUGCCGCGUGAGUGAUGAAGGCCUUCGGAUCGUAAAACUCUGUUAUCAGGGAAGAAAAAAUGUGUAAGUAAAUAUGCACGUCUUGACGGUACCUAAAGAGAAAGCCCCGGCUAACUCCGUG